CUAUGUUUCAGUCAAUGAUUCAUGGCAAAGGAG
ncrna:Paucilactobacillus wasatchensis L31-Firmicutes ribosomal protein leader